rnacentral:rRNA from 1 species
UACGGAGGGUGCGAGCGUUGUCCGGAAUCACUGGGCGUAAAGGGCGCGUAGGCGGCAUGCCAAGCGUGUGGUGAAAGCCCGGGGCUCAACCCCGGGUCGGCCGUGCGGACUGGCGUGCUUGAGCACUGUAGGGGCGGGUGGAAUUCCGGGUGUAGCGGUGAAAUGCGUAGAUAUCCGGAGGAACACCAGUGGCGAAGGCGGCCUUCUCGGGAUGCUCCGUGACGCUCAGACACGAAAGCUAGGGGAGCGAACGGG